rnacentral:rRNA from 1 species
UACGUAGGGGGCUAGCGUUGUCCGGAUUCAUUGGGCGUAAAGCGCACGCAGGCGGCUUGGUAAGUCAUCGGUGAAAUCCCUCGGCCCAACCGGGGGGGGUCCGGCGAAACUGCCAGGCUUGAGGUCGGGAGGGGGAAGCGGAAUUCCGGGUGUAGUGGUGGAAUGCGUAGAUAUCCGGAGGAACACCAGUGGCGAAGGCGGCUUCCUGGCCCGAAUCUGACGCUGAGGUGCGAAAGCGUGGGGAGCGAUCCGG